GGUCACGUAGCUCAGUAGGACAGAGCACGAGCCUUCUAAGCUUGUGGUCAGAGGUUCGAAUCCUCUCGUGAUCG
rnacentral:tRNA from 1 species